CACGUAGGGCGCAAGCGUUGUCCGGAAUUAUUGGGCGUAAAGCGCUCGUAGGCGGUCUGUUGCGUCCGCUGUGAAAACUCGGGGCUUAACCCCGAGCCUGCAGUGGAUACGGGCAGACUAGAGGUAGGGAGGGGAGAAUGGAAUUCCCGGUGUAGCGGUGAAAUGCGCAGAUAUCGGGAGGAACACCGGUGGCGAAGGCGGUUCUCUGGGCCGUACCUGACGCUGAGGAGCGAAAGCGUGGGGAGCGAACAGG
rnacentral:rRNA from 1 species